CAAUCCGUGGGAGGGGUUCCAUUCGUAACUGGGAGACUUGAGUGCAGAAGAGGGAAAGUGGAAAUUCCAUGUGUAGCGGUGAAAUGCGUAGAGAUAUGGAGGGAACACCCAGUGGGCGAAGGCGACUUUCUGGUCUGUAACUGACACUGAGGCGCGAAAGCGUGGGGAGCAAACAGGAUUAGAUACCCUGGUAGUGCACGCCGUAAACGAUGAGUGCUAAGUGUUAGAGGGUUUCCGCCCUUUAGUGCUGAAGUUAACGCAUUAAGCACUCCGCCUGGGGAGUACGGCCGCAAGGCUGAAACUCAAA
rnacentral:rRNA from 2 species